AAUAAUUAUAACUAAGAAAAUUGAGAAAAUAAUGCAUUAAUGAAAUUAGAAUCCAUAUCAUAGCUAAAAGAAAUUCAAGUUCAUCACCAGCAAUAGAAAUAACACAACAGCAAAAUAAUGUAACGGCAAAAAUAACUUACAGUUAUCCAAAAAUUGUAAACAAAAUAAAAAGUAAAAAAAAUCGAAAAUCUAGACAAACUCCCCC
rnacentral:lncRNA from 1 species